rnacentral:misc_RNA from 1 species
UGGCGCCGCUGUACAGAGCAGCGCCAAGUCUCGUCUCUCCUGCUUUUCGAAGCAGCACUGCAGCUGCUGCUGCUGCUGACGCCGCAGUGGCAAGCGUCCUCUCAGCCGCGUAACCGCGUGUUACGGCAGCAGUAGGCCAACGCUCUGUCUCUCCCCUUUUUAUUUUAUUCGUUAGGUGCGAUGUUUCGCAUUAGCUUGAUCUGCUUCCCUAAGGUGGGAUGCGAGGAGAUCACGCGCCAGGCGCGUCGCGUAGUGCUCAAGCCACAGGAAUACUUCGCGCAGCACCGCAUGCAGGUAUGGCAGAUGCGGUUCAAGGAGAUGGGCCCUCCCUUCUCGCGUGUCUGGGUGGCGCUUGGGGGCAAGAUGCGCCGCCGUCGCAUUGGCCGGCAAAUAGAUGUGAAGGACAUGCGCUACUACUGGCGCCCCAUCGAGCCGCAGUACCAGCGCCUGUAUAUGUCGCGUCUUCGUAUCAAGGACCACUCAAACAAGCGCGUGCAACCGAUGCGUCUGCGAGCGACGAACAACGACAUUGGCCAGGCCUCCUCGCUGAGGGAAUGGGAGCGUUCUAGCGACCGCAAGUACGGAGCCGCCCUCGCGCCUCCCAAAAAACGAGACUUUGAGUUUCGCGUCUUCUGAGGUGCAGCUGUUCACAUUUGCUUGCCAUGCUUUUUGGCAUUGGCGCGCUCUCUACCGGCGGCCGUCAGCUCGGGUGCGUCCCCUGCCUCUUGUCUCCUCUAUCCCCGUGUGCAUCCCUCCCUCUUCGCGUAUCUUCAGCCUCUGCGACGCCCCUCUCACGUGUGCAUGCGUAAACGGAGGUCAGGCUGCAUGAAAGUGGGGAGGAGGGAUUCUUAAACAGGAAGCGCUGGACUCUGUUGUUGUUUCUACUGUAGAGCUAAGCAUGGGCGUUGAAAUAGGAUAUAUCGGUGCACAUGGGGUUGCCCAAAUGGGGCGUGAUCUGCUCGUUGCUGACGAGUGUCAUGGUGUGUCUCUCCGUCUCAAGCUCUGCGCAGGGCCAUGCGCGCUGCCCGAGUUUGUGGAGCUGUCCAAAGCUGCGCCUUGCAUGGAGCAACGUUCAUACCCACUUCCCAUGUCCCUCUCUCAUGCCGCUUGGUUCUCCGCACCGGUGCCGACGCAGACGAUUCCGUCCCCCUCCAAUAUCCCCUCGUCUCUCUUUUCGCGUUUGUCUUGGAGCUCUUCCCUGGCGAUUGCUGGUCUGUCGAAG